UGCCGGCGACCGGCGCACGGGUGAGUAACACGUAUGCGACCUGCCCCCCGCAGGGGGAUAACCGGGAGAAAUCCCGACUAAUACCGCGUAACGCCGCGGACCUGCAUGGGUCUGCGGCCAAAGGAAGCGAUUCCGGCGGGGGAUGGGCAUGCGGCGCAUUAGCUAGUCGGCGGGGUAACGGCCCACCGAGGCGACGAUGCGUAGGGGUUCUGAGAGGAAGGUCCCCCACGCUGGUACUGAGACACGGACCAGACUCCUACGGAAGGCAGCAG
rnacentral:rRNA from 1 species